GACGAACGCUGGCGGCGUGCUUAACACAUGCAAGUCGAACGGAAAGGCCCUGCUUUUGUGGGGUGCUCGAGUGGCGAACGGGUGAGUAACACGCGAGUAACCUGCCCUUGACUUUGGGAUAACUUCAGGAAACUGGGGCUAAUACCGGAUAGGAGCUCCUGCUGCAUGGUGGGGGUUGGAAAGUUUCGGCGGUUGGGGAUGGACUCGCGGCUUAUCAGCUUGUUGGUGGGGUAGUGGCUUACCAAGGCUUUGACGGGUAGCCGGCCUGAGAGGGUGACCGGCCACAUUGGGACUGAGAUACGGCCCAGACUCCUACGGGAGGCAGCAGUGGGGAAUAUUGCACAAUGGGCGGAAGCCUGAUGCAGCAACGCCGCGUGCGGGAUGACGGCCUUCGGGUUGUAAACCGCUUUCGCCUGUGACGAAGCGUGAGUGACGGUAAUGGGUAAAGAAGCACCGGCUAACUACGUGCCAGCAGCCGCGGUGAUACGUAGGGUGCGAGCGUUGUCCGGAUUUAUUGGGCGUAAAGGGCUCGUAGGUGGUUGAUCGCGUCGGAAGUGUAAUCUUGGGGCUUAACCCUGAGCGUGCUUUCGAUACGGGUUGACUUGAGGAAGGUAGGGGAGAAUGGAAUUCCUGGUGGAGCGGUGGAAUGCGCAGAUAUCAGGAGGAACACCAGUGGCGAAGGCGGUUCUCUGGGCCUUUCCUGACGCUGAGGAGCGAAAGCGUGGGGAGCGAACAGGCUUAGAUACCCUGGUAGUCCACGCUGUAAACGGUGGGUACUAGGUGUGGGGUCCAUUCCACGGGUUCCGUGCCGUAGCUAACGCUUUAAGUACCCCGCCUGGGGAGUACGGCCGCAAGGCUAAAACUCAAAGGAAUUGGCGGGGCCCCGCACAAGCGGCGGAGCAUGCGGAUUAAUUCGAUGCAACGCGUAGAACCUUACCUGGGUUUGACAUGGAUCGGGAGUGCUCAGAGAUGGGUGUGCCUCUUUUGGGGUCGGUUCACAGGUGGUGCAUGGCUGUCGUCAGCUCGUGUCGUGAGAUGUUGGGUUAAGUCCCGCAACGAGCGCAACCCUUGUUCACUGUUGCCAGCACGUUAUGGUGGGGACUCAGUGGAGACCGCCGGGGUCAACUCGGAGGAAGGUGGGGAUGACGUCAAGUCAUCAUGCCCCUUAUGUCCAGGGCUUCACGCAUGCUACAAUGGCUGGUACAGAGAGUGGCGAGCCUGUGAGGGUGAGCGAAUCUCGGAAAGCCGGUCUCAGUUCGGAUUGGGGUCUGCAACUCGACCUCAUGAAGUCGGAGUCGCUAGUAAUCGCAGAUCAGCAACGCUGCGGUGAAUACGUUCCCGGGGCU
rnacentral:rRNA from 1 species